AUUGAACGCUGGCGGCAUGCCUUACACAUGCAAGUCGAACGGCAGCACGGGGGCAACCCUGGUGGCGAGUGGCGAACGGGUGAGUAAUGCAUCGGAACGUGCCCAGGUAGUGGGGGAUAACUAGUCGAAAGAUUAGCUAAUACCGCAUACGACCUAUGGGUGAAAGCGGGGAUUCGCAAGAACCUCGCGCUAUCGGAGCGGCCGAUGUCUGAUUAGCUAGUGGCGGGGUAAAGGCCCACCAAGGCUUCGAUCAGUAGCUGGUCUGAGAGGACGACCAGCCACACUGGGACUGAGACACGGCCCAGACUCCUACGGAGGCAGCAGUGGGGAAUUUUGGACAAUGGGCGCAAGCCUGAUCCAAGCCAUGCCGCGUGCGGGAAGAAGGCC
rnacentral:rRNA from 1 species